CGGUGGAGCAUGUGGUUUAAUUCGAAGCAACGCGAAGAACCUUACCAGGUCUUGACAUCCUUUGACCACUCUAGAGAUAGAGCUUCCCCUUCGGGGGCAAAGUGACAGGUGGUGCAUGGUUGUCGUCAGCUCGUGUCGUGAGAUGUUGGGUUAAGUCCCGCAACGAGCGCAACCCUUAUUGUUAGUUGCCAUCAUUCAGUUGGGCACUCUAGCAAGACUGCCGGUGACAAACCGGAGGAAGGUGGGGAUGACGUCAAAUCAUCAUGCCCCUUAUGACCUGGGCUACACACGUGCUACAAUGGGAAGUACAACGAGUUGCGAAGUCGCGAGGCUAAGCUAAUCUCUUAAAGCUUCUCUCAGUUCGGAUUGCAGGCUGCAACUCGCCUGCAUGAAGCCGGAAUCGCUAGUAAUCGCGGAUCAGCACGCCGCGGUGAAUACGUUCCCGGGCCUUGUACACACCGCCCGU
rnacentral:rRNA from 1 species